UAUAUUCCUUCUAACUAAGUGACAAAAUAUUACAAAGUAAAUAAAUAAUAAAUAAUAACAUGUGCUAUAAAUAGUUACCACUUAUUCCAUUUUUUUGCUUCACUGAUAAAGAUGAAUUACAUCUCUCGUAGAAGGCCUAUCGAGUAAAUAGAACUCGGCCUAAUUGAUUUGAAGAGGGCAUAUGUAUAGGUCGACUUGGGAAAAAAAAAAGCAAGAAGGAGGAGACCUUAGACCAAGAAAAGACAUUCACAAACACUGCUUUCCGGCGCAAGAACUAGAUUUUCACCUUUUCUUGUUCUUGUCGAAUUCAUUAAGUUUUUUAUGAUUCCAAUGUCUUUUCUUGUAAUUGAUUUAUUGUAUUUUUACCUUUUUUAACAAUCAUUUUCAUUAUAUUUGUGUUCAUUUAGAUUGUAUUUAAGAGUCUAUAUUGCAUUUUCAUAUGAAUUUAUGUUAUUUCAGGUUUUUGAGAGACCAUAUGCAGUUUGAAGCGGUUCUGUCGAUUUUGGAGAGGAUUAAGCCAUAAAAGUUCAACAAACAGCUUGGCUGAAGAUGGAAGUGGUCUCAAUCAAUUGAAGCUAUAUUCUAAGAGAUGUGGCCAAAUUACUGAAUUUAUGCUGCAAAGAAUGAAUGACCGCAGACAGAAAUCACAGACCGAACCCAUCCAUGAAAUCAAGGCAGGACGACUUUUGGAGAAGUAUCUCACCGCAGACGAAGCCCGUUUGUGGUCUACAUCAAUAGUAGUUUUUUUAUCUAUUUUCUUUUGGGUUGACUCAAGCUUGUUGGGUUGACCGGAUUCAUUUUAAGGCCUAUAGAAGAGCAUUUUAGGGGGAAAUAAACCCUAAGUUACCUGAGCAUAGUUGCUCCUUAGUUUUGUCUUAAUAUUAAACCUUAGACUUGUGAAUCUUGCUUUUGUUUAAGAAUUUAUUUUGUUUAUCUU